GGAAUGUUCAAUUCUGCCUUGGAAGUGGCCAUAUUUGAAGGUGCUGUGAUUCAAACUGUCAGCGAGAUAAGGCAGCAGAUCAAGAAAGCACUCCGGGCUCCAGAAGGAGCCUUCCAGGCCAGCUUUGAGCAUAAGCUGCUGAUGAGCAAUACUGUCUUCAUGUGAACUUGGUAUCCUGUUUCCAUCCCAGCCUUCUAUAACCCAGUAACAUCUUUUUUGAAACCAGUGGGCGAGAAAGACACCUGGUCAGGAACGCGGACCACAGGACAACUCAGGCUCACCCACGGCAUCAGACUAAAGGCAAACAAGGACUCUGUAUAAAGUACCAGUGGCAUGUGUAUUAGUGGAGAUGCAGCCUGUGCUCUGCAGACAGGGAGUCACACAGACACUUUUCUAUAAUUUCUUAAGUGCUUUGAAUGUUCAAGUAGAAAGUCUAACAUUAAAUUUGAUUGAACAAUUGUAUAUUCAUGGAAUAUUUUGGAAUGGAAUACCAAAAAAUGGCAAUAGUGGUUCUUUCUGGAUGGAAGACAAAUUUUUCUUCUUUAAAAUAAAUUUUAUUUUAUAUAUUUGAGGUUGACCACAUGACCUUAAGGAUACAUAUAGACAGUAAACUGGUUACUACAGUGAAGCAAAUUAACAUAUCUACCAUCUUACAUAGUUACAUUUUUUGUGUGUGACAGGAACAGCCAAAAUCUACGUAUUUAACAAAAAUCCUAAAGACAAUACAUUUUUAUUAACUACAGCCCACAUGAUGUACAUUAGAUCUCUAACUUGAUCAUCCUAUAUGUCUGCUACUUUGUAUUUUCUUAAUGUACGUCUCCCCAUUUGCUAUUGGUCAUUUCCUAUUUGGCUCAUUUUUCAACUGGGUUGUUUUCCUGUUAUUAAAAGAGUUCUUUACUGAUUUUUGGACAUUAACUCUUUAUCAGAUAUGUGAUCUGCAAAUAUUUCCUCCAGUCUGUAGGUUCUCUUUUCAUUUUGUUGGUUUUUUCCUUUGCUGUGCAGAAGCUUUUUAGUUUGAUGCAGUCCUCCUUGUUUAUGUUUCCAUUUGUAGCCUGGCUUGUGGUGCGAUAUCCAAAAAAUAAUUGCUAAGGCCAAUGUCAAGAGGCUUUCCCCCUAUGUUCUCUUCUAGGAGUUUUAAGGUUUCAGGUCUUAUUUGGGUCUUGGGUCUUGUAUCUGUUUUGAGUUGAUUUUUGUGUAUGGUGUAUGAUCAGGGUCCAUUUUUAUUCUUUUGAAUGUGAAAAUCCAGUUUUCCCAGCACUAUUAUUGAAGAGACUAUUUUUCUUUCCAUUGUGUUGUCUUGUUUGCCCUUGUCAAAAAUUAGUUGACAGUAUAUGUUUGGAUUUAUUUCAAAGGUCUCUGUUCUGUUCCAUUGGUUUAUACUUUUUGUUUUUAUGCCAGUAUCAUACUGUUUUGAUUACUAUAGCUUUGUAAUACAAUUUUAAAUCAAGAGGUGUGAUGCCUCCAACUUUUUCUUUCACAGUAAUCUGUUGGCUGUUUGGGGUUUUUUGUGGUUCCAUACGAGUUUCAGGAUUGUUUUUUCUGUUUUGUUUUGUUUUGUUUUUUCUUGAGAUGAAGUCUCACUCUGUUGCCCAAGUUGGAGUGCAGUGGCACAACCUUGGCUCACUGCAACCUCUGCUUCCCGGAUUCAAGCAAUUCUCCUGCCUCAGCCUCCCAAGUAGCUGGGACUACAGGCACAUGCUGCUAUAUCCAGCUAAUUUUUGUAGUUUUAGUAGAGACAGGGUUUCACUAUAUUGGCCAGGCUGGUCUCCAAGUCCUGACCUCGUGAUCCACCUGCCUCAGCCUCCCAAAGUGCUGGGAUUACAGGCAUGAACCACAACACCUGGCCAGGAUUGUUUUUUUCUGUUCUGUGAAGAAUGCCACCAGAACAUUGAUGAGGAUUGUGUUAAAUCUAUAUAUUUGCUUUGGGUAGUGUGAACAUUUUAACAAUAUUAAUUCUUCUGAUACAUAAACAUAGGAUAUCUUUUCAUUUGUUCAUAUCUAAAUUUCUUUCAUCAAUGUUUUAUGGUUUUCAAGUGUACACAUCUUCCAUCUUAUUGGUUAAAUUCAUUCCUAAGUAUAUGUUUUUCUUUGAUGUUAUUGUAAAUGAGAUUGUUUUCUUGAUUUCUUUGUCAGCUAGGUUAUUUGUAUAUAGAAAUGCAACUGAUUUUUAUAUGUUGAGUUUAUACUUUGCAGCUUAACUGAAUUGAUUUAGUAGUUCUUAGAGUUUUUUGUGGAAUGUUUGGAGUUUUUUACAUAAAGGGUCUUGUCAUCUGCAGAUAGAGAUAAUUUUACUUCUUUAAUUUAGUUGCUUUUUUUUUCCUCAUCAGAUUGCUCUUGCAAGUACUAUGUUCAAUAAAAGUGAGGAGACUGGGCA